rnacentral:rRNA from 1 species
UACGUAGGGUGCGAGCGUUGUCCGGAAUUACUGGGCGUAAAGAGCUCGUAGGUGGUUUUGUCGCGUUGUCCGUGAAAAACUCACAACUCAAUUGUGGGCGUGCGGGCGAUACGGGCAGACUGGAGUACUGCAGGGGAGACUGGAAUUCCUGGUGUAGCGGUGAAAUGCGUAGAUAUCUGGAGGAACACCGGUGGCGAAGGCGGCAUCCUGGACCGACACUGACGCUGAGGAGCGAAAAGCCAGGGGAGCAAACGGGG